UUCAAUUCAACUGGUUGAGCCUGCACCAGAGUGCGCGCACAGCCACUAGAGGGCUGUCAUGCAGAGCAUGCUCAGGGGAGGCGGCAUGCAGGAGACAGAAAUGACAGGUACACAGAAGACAGCCACACCUCCGCCAGAUUAGCGCGACAGUGAUGAUUGCUGGAGAGCCGGCUGUGCAGCAGUACUCCCCCGUGAUGAUUGCUGGAGAGCCGGUUGCGCACCGGGGCGAGCUACGGGACCACCGGAGCCAUGGGGAUCCACGGGAGCCGCUGCCGGGAGGGUCGGGCGUGAGCCAGGUCGGCAUCCAGCUCCGAUAAAGCACCAAAGCGUUCGGAAAAGGCUGAGGGCAGGAGGCGAAGCAGCCCCAGCCCCGGCUCUCCUCCGGCCGUGGACCACGUCUGUCCAGGAGGGCCUGAAGGUCGGCGUUGAGCAGGAGGACGGACGUGGGCAGGUGGACCAAUCCCAGGGCACCGUAUCCUGGAGGGCGGCAGAUAGAGAUACAGAUGUAUUCUAUCACUUCCAGUUAAAAAUAACACUUUGCUGCAGACCAGAUACGACCAACUGAGCAGCAACUACAGCCAGAUCCAGAGGAAAGUUUCUGAUAUAUCUAUUGAAAACAGUCAGUUACAGGAUGAAGUAAAGCAGCUGAAGUGCAGAAUUAAAGUGAAGCUGUGUCCUGACGGAUGGAAGGGAUUUGGAUGCAGUUGUUACUUUAAAUCUGAGGAGAGGAACUAUUGGAGUAAUAGCAGAGCUGACUGUCAGCAGAGUGGCGCACAUCUGGUCAUCAUAAACAACGAAGAGGAACAGAAGUUUGUCAGUGAGCUGAGUAAGGAUGGAGAGUCCUGGACUGGUCUACGGUAUGACUGGAUACAAGGAGAAUGGAAAUGGGAAUGGGUCGAUGAAUCACCGCUGACAGAAACGUUCUGGGCAGCAGGACUGCCUCAGCCUGACGGUGAAAGUGCUGCAACAUGCUGCGAUCAACAAGGAAAAUGGACACAAACAAGAAGAUUUGGUGACCAUAAGAAGUUCAUCUGUGAGAAAUAGAUUCUCUGAACUCUGUGAUGACAGAGGGGGGUGUAGUGUUGGGAUCAGCUUUGUCAAAUCAGACUAAUUAACAUUUUGCUCAGUAGUUUAUUCUGUGUUGCUAAAUAACCUGGAUUACAUAGAUAUCGUCCCUCUGCCCUUCAUAGUGCACAAUCUGGUUACAAGUCAGGAGCCCUUACUCUCUAGUCCUACAGGAUUAUAAUAGUACAAGCUAAUAAAAAGAUGGAAUUGCAGGUUUUCAGCUUUUAGAACAUUUUACACACCACCCAAAAUAAAAC